UUUUACAACUUGUACCCUGCAAUUUUUGUCAAGAUGUCCAGUUAGAAACUAGCUGAAAAGUUUGUAGCCCGUCGUGGGCAGUUCAGGCUAUGCUGUAGUGAAAGGAGUGCUGCUUGCAAGGAAAGUACUCGUUUUAGUCAGUUAUUAAAAGAAUGACCCAGGUUCCUGAGGAGCUGACCUGAAUGACCCAUCAUGGCCUCAAUCCGUUGUGCCUCUAUAUUCUUUGCAAAAUGCAAUGAAUAUUUACUGAGCUGACCAUGGCCGUUUGAGAAUCAGAGGAAUGGAAAGGCAAUGAAGUGACUUGGCCUACAGGUCUUUUGUGAGCAGGAGCUGGGGUUUCCUUAGAAGAAGCGUCCGUGUCAUGAUCCCCUUGUGUGUGGUGCUACGCAUAUGGAGGGAACUUCCGGAUACUUCAGGGCAGUACGUUGGAUUCAGACCCCUUUUCGACUGAACCGCGUGACACAUGUUCAGCAACAGCAUCCUCCAUGGAAGGUCUGUCUAGCUGAGCACACAAGUCCUGGGGCACAGGAAUCCGCUGGACGACAUCCCAA